UAACUCUGGUUUCUCUUCAAAACGCAUAAAUCUUUCGCCUUUUACUAAAGAUUUCCGUGGAGGGAACAACUCAAUGAGUCUUACUCAAUUUUUAGAGAACCCACUCAUGUGGGUU
rnacentral:snRNA from 1 species